GAUGAACGCUGGCGGCGUGCCUAAUACAUGCAAGUCGAGCGAGAAUUUUUCAAAUGACACUUCGGUUGAUUUUGGAAAAGGACAGCGGCGGACGGGUGAGUAACGCGUAGGCAACCUGCCCCUGACAGAGGGAUAGCCAUUGGAAACGAUGAUUAAAACCUCAUAACGCCGAAGGAACACAUGUUUCAUCGGCCAAAGAUUUAUCGGUCAGGGAUGGGCCUGCGUCUGAUUAACUAGUUGGUGAGGUAACGGCUCACCAAGGUGACGAUCAGUAGCCGACCUGAGAGGGUGAUCGGCCACAUUGGAACUGAGACACGGUCCAAACUUCUACGGAAGGCAGCAGUAGGGAAUCUUGCGCAAUGGGCGAAAGCCUGAUGCAGCAACGCCGCGUGAAGGAUGAAGGCCUUCGGGUUGUAAACUUCUGUUCUUAGGGGAGAAGAAAGUGACGGUACCUAAGGAGAAAGCCCCGGCUAACUACGUGCCAGCCGCCGCGGUAA
rnacentral:rRNA from 1 species